rnacentral:rRNA from 1 species
AUUGAACGCUGGCGGCAUGCUUUACACAUGCAAGUCGAACGGCAGCGCGGGCUUCGGCCUGGCGGCGAGUGGCGAACGGGUGAGUAAUACAUCGGAACGGGCCCAGAAGAGGGGGAUAGCUCGGCGAAAGCCGGAUUAAUACCGCAUACGACCUGAGGGUGAAAGCGGGGGAGCUUCGGACCUCGCGCUAUUGGAGCGGCCGAUGGCGGAUUAGCUAGUUGGUGGGGUAAAGGCCUACCAAGGCGACGAUCUGUAGCUGGCCUGAGAGGACGACCAGCCACACUGGGACUGAGACACGGCCCAGACUCCUACGGGAGGCAGCAGUGGGGAAUUUUGGACAAUGGGCGAAAGCCUGAUCCAGCAAUGCCGCGUGUGUGAUGAAGGCCUUCGGGUUGUAAAGCACUUUUGGCGGGAACGAAAAGGACUGUGCCAAUACCACGGUUCGAUGACGGUACCCGCAGAAUAAGCACCGGCUAACUACGUG